GAUGAACGCUGGCGGCGUGCCUAAUACAUGCAAGUCGAGCGAACAGACGAGGAGCUUGCUCCUCUGACGUUAGCGGCGGACGGGUGGGUAACACGUGGAUCACCUACUUAUAAGACUGGGAUAAUUUCGGGAAACCGGAGCUAAUACCGGAUAAUAUAUUGAACCGCAUGGUUCAAUAGUGAAAGACGGUUUUGCUGUCACUUAUAGCUGGAUCCGCGCCGCAUUAGCUAGUUGGUAAGGUAACGGCUUACCAAGGCGACGAUGCGUAGCCGACCUGAGAGGGUGAUCGGCCACACUGGAACUGAGACACGGUCCAGACUCCUACGGGAGGCAGCAGUAGGGAAUCUUCCGCAAUGGGCGAAAGCCUGACAGAGCAACGCCGCGUGAGUGAUGAAGGUCUUCGGAUCGUAAAACUCUGUUAUUAGGGAAGAACAAAUGUGUAAGUAACUAAGCACGUCUUGACGGUACCUAAUCAGAAAGCCACGGCUAACUACGUG
rnacentral:rRNA from 1 species